rnacentral:rRNA from 1 species
UCCAUGCCGUAAACGAUGGAUACUAGGUGUCGGGGGACUAGCCCCCUCGGUGCCGUAGCAAACGCGUUAAGUAUCCCGCCUGGGGAGUACGAUCGCAAGGUUGAAACUCAAAGGAAUUGACGGGGGCCCGCACAAGCGGUGGAGCAUGUGGUUUAAUUCGAUGCAACGCGAAGAACCUUACCUGGGCUUGAACCGCAUAUUGAUCUACUAUAGAGAUAUGGUAUUCUGAGCAA